ACAAUAAUUAUAAUUAAAAUUGUAUAGUAAAACGUGAAGAAUUAUAAAGUGUACUUUGGAAUGCCAGUAUAUGACAUAACAAAUGUAGGCAAAACAAUAUAGACGAUAGAAGGUUGUACAGUUAAGAUUUUAUUUAUUUAUACAAUUAUCAGAAUUAUCAACUAUGAUUGAUUUGAUUGGGACAAGAUGUAGAAGAUCACUUGUUCAAGCUCGAAGUAUUUAUAAAAUGCGAUGGAAUUAGAUGUAACGAAGCAGCACAGUCGCGACAUUUUACCAAAGCUUCCGCUAAAUCGUUGUAAUACAUCCAAUCAAAAACGGAUUACACAGGAGAGAAACACUAAAGUUAAGAGGAGCGAAUGACAUCGACUAUAUUUAUGAAAUUUGAGACUUUAUAUGAAUAGAAGUAUUUUCAUCGUCCAAAAUCGGCAGCGAACAGCAGUUUUAUAUAUGUACAUAAUAUAAUGAUGAGUCAAUUAAACUAAAGAUUUGUUUUCUAACAAUUGUGUUUAUAUUAAUAUUCUUCAACCCUGUAACGCAUCAAUAUAUAGUCAUUUAAUUCCUCCGUACGUUGCUGUAAAUAGCAAUUAAUCUUUUAAUCGAAGCACUAAAAUUAAUUUAUUUUUGUACUAAU